UACGUAUGGGGCAAGCGUUAUCCGGAUUCAUUGGGCGUAAAGAGCGCGUAGGCGGAUUGUUAAGUCAGAUGUGAAAUCCGGGGGCUCAACCCGCGGUCUGCAUCUGAAACUGGCAGUCUUGAGUCUGGUAGAGGAAAGUGGAAUUCCCAGUGUAGCGGUGAAAUGCGCAGAUAUUGGGAGGAACACCAGUGGCGAAGGCGGCUUUCUGGGCCACGACUGACGCUGAGGCGCGAAAGCUAGGGGAGCAAACAGGAUUAGAUACCCUGGUAGUCCUAGCCGUAAACGAUGGGCACUAGGUGUGGGGGGUCAUCAACUCCCUCCGUGCCGCAGCUAACGCAUUAAGUGCCCCGCCUGGGGAGUACGGCCGCAAGGCUAAA
rnacentral:rRNA from 1 species